rnacentral:rRNA from 1 species
GAUGAACGCUGACAGAAUGCUUAACACAUGCAAGUCAACUGUGGCGGACGGGUGAGUAACGCGUAAAGAACUUGCCUCCCAGAUAGGGACAACAUUUGGAAACGAAUGCUAAUACCUGAUACUGUGAGAGGGCUUUGCGUCCCAUUAGCUAGUUGGAGAGGUAACGGCUCACCAAGGCGAUGAUGGGUAGCCGGCCUGAGAGGGUGAUCGGCCACAAGGGAAUUGAGACACGGCCCUUACGACUACGUGAGGAAGGAGUGGGGAAUAAUGGACAAUGGACCAAAGUCUGAUCCAGUAAUUCUGUGGGAACGAUGAAGUUUUCGGAAGGUAAAGUGUUUGCAGUUGGGAAGCGGUACCAACAGAAGAAGGGACGGCUAAAUACGUGCCAGCAGCCGCGGUAAUUC